GUCUCGAGAUCAUGGCGCUCCGCCAUAACCUCCUCUGCACUCUUCACCACCCGGUCCCUCCUCCAUACCACCCAAACCUCUCUCUACCUCAUCCUCCGCAUCAACUACUCCUUCCACUGGUACCCUCUCCUCUAUAAUUGCCAUAGCAGAAAAAUCCCACAAAAACCCAUUUUUUCCCUUCCCCGCAUCCCGUUUCAGCCCGUAGGACCUGCGUUCGCCGCCUUAGGCCCGAAAAUAUACGUAAUUGGGGGGUCUAUUAACAAAACUCCGUCAAAUUCGAUGUGGGUUUAUGAUUGUAGGUUUAAUAGGUGGGCGGAAGGCCCAAGAAUGAUGGUGGGACGGGAGUUCGCUGCGGCCGGGGUUGUUAAUGGGAAGAUUUAUGUUCUAGGUGGUUGUCUUGUGGAUAGCUGGGCGGAGGUUUUUGACCCGGAUACUGGGUUGUGGGCCCCGGUGCCAAGCCCUAUUGAGGUGAGGGAGAACGGGAUGCACGCGAGCGCGGUGGUGGAGGGGAGAGGUGGGGUGGUGUAUGAUAUUGGGCUGGGGAACUGGGGAAAAGUGUCAAAAAGGGCUGCGGUGGUUCGGGGAGUGUUGUAUUGUUGUGAUUAUUUAGGGAAGAUCAGAGGGUACGAUGUGGAGAAAGGUGUUUGGAAGAAGUUGAAGGGUGUACGGUUGCCUAUUUUUUCAUGUGGUGCGACGAUGGUGAAUUUCGAUGGGAGGUUGUGUGUUGUUUGGGAGAAAAAGGGGAGUGGGAAGGAGGUGGAGAUAAAGUGUGCGGAUAUUGAAGUUUGGAAGGAAGAGGAUGGAAAGUUGGAUGGAAGGAUUUUGUGGUCUGGUGUGAUUCUCAAAGUUCCUGAUGGAGCUGCGAUUGUACAUUGUAUGGCAGCUGAGUUCUGAUGGUGAUGUUUGGUGCAGGGUAUGGCAAUUGUUCUUUGGUGCAUACGUUGCUUAUAAUAUUCAGGUUCUUUUAUCUUUGAAGCAUGUUAGCCAUUUAGUUAUCUGAUUCAUUUGGCCUUGUUUGGAUUGCCGGUUUCGUCGAAAAAUUACGCAGUUUUUCGUGAUCACAUUUCCGUAUUACCUUUUUUUCUCACAUACAUCAAAUCGCUACAGUAAUUUUUCCACGAAAAAUCAAGAAAAAUGCAAUCCAAACACUUUUUUAUGCGUUUAGCCUUGUACGGUUAUACCAUGCCUGUAAACUUCCCUCUCUCUCGUUCUAAUUGAAUAGUCAUUAAAUAUAGUUAUAUAAAACUGGUUCGUUGCAGAGAGUGUGAACUUUUACUUCAUUCUUUGCGAGGAAAGGGGAAAAUAGAGCGCAAAUUGGGGCAAUGGCCAUUGACGAGGGAACAUCCCUGAACCUCUGAAGCACACAUAAAAAGGAACAAGCUCGAUUGGUUCAUUCUAUACUUUUUAAUUGACUUCCCCCCCUUAUUUGAUAUUAAUUGGUCAUCUUGCCUAAAAUAUGCUUUCAUAUAAUUAUGGAGCAAAAAAUCUACGGAAUAAAGCCAGCAGCUGAACAUGUCCUAUACUGUAACAAGGGUUACCCAACAGACUGACUGCCUCCACUUUCAUAAGAGUUUAAAAACAUUUGAUUUUCAUAUGCCAAGCAACGUCAUUCAUCCAAUCCCAGAAGACCCCAGCUAGUGUUUUAUGUCUUUUGUUCUUUUGCCUAACUGUGAAGUCCCGCUGGCAUAAAUUGUUCUUUUAGGUUCCUCCUCCUUGUUUAGACAUUUUAAUCAUUCAUUACUGCUUCUUGAGCUUCUUGCUGGAAAAUUUUCUUCUUUUUUAUUAUCCUAUUUGCCUUUGAAUUUUUCCUGGAUGGACCGAUGAUGUAAUAAGAAAUAAACUGCGUUAUCUAUCUGCAAUUUCCCAAAUGGAAUUGAAGAUUAAUUUGUCUUCCUGAGGUUCUGUAUGAUAAUUAUCAGUCUAAUGGUUUCAUAAUGUCAUUUUUUCAAUUUCUUUUUCGAUAUUGAAGUCUGUACUGGUGGUUUAAUUUGUUUUAUGAUCUGAGGAUGAGCAUCAGUGAUGACAUAUGACAAUUGUUAUCCUUGCACUUUGAUUACCAGUGAAGAAAACUAUGGGGAUUGACUCUGAGAUGCUGUUCUCCUCAUUUCCCACCUCUCUGUUGAGUUAUGUACUUUAUUUUUGAUGCUGUAAUCUGGAGAUUCUGAGAUUCAGUCGAAUGGUAUACUCACAGUUGUUUUACCCAUGUAUUCAAAAUGGAUUAGAGCCAAAUUCAACACGAGCAUUUUGGAUUUGUUUGUUUUUUAAGAUAUUUUCUCAAUUGACAAAAUGGCCUUAUAAUGUGAUACUCUGCUACUUUGAUGUCCCCAUGAUGAUUGCGCUGCCAUUGCUUGAUUUUUUUUUAGAUUUAGACAGAUUCAAUAUUUUUUGAACAUUGCUGUAGUUUAGUCUUGAUUGUCCAUUCUGGAUCAGUGAUGUUAAUGUUUUUACUGCGUUAUCUAUCUGAAAUCCAGUUGAGGAUAGACUUACUUCCUGAGAUCCAGUCCAUUUUUUAUUGAGCAUCAUUAAUUACCACUCAUGGAUUAUAUUGCAAAUGUGAGAUACUACCCUCCUUGCCUUUUGUUUGUCCCGGGUUUUCUUAACAAUCCGGUCCCAGAAGUGAGCAUUUGAAUUUAUCAUGAAAGUUCAAUUUAUACGAUCGCUUUUGCUUGCUAUAUGAUGACUUUAUAGUAUGGAAUUGCGUGUGUAGUCAGCUACCUUACACUUUUUCUUUCCCUCUGUUUCAACUCUUAGAAUUUUGGUCCACUUUUAUUUUUGAGUCAUUCUGUCAUGUUGUUACUUGUCCCUGGUGUGCAAAAUUUGUUCUUGAAGGUGAUAAUAUCGUAUAUGUUUUUGCAGCUACUUUUUUUAAUUUGCAGACAUCUAUUGAGGGAUAAGUGUUAGAUGAGAACGUAUACUCCAUUUGAGUUCAUUUCUUGGAGCUUUGGUUCAUUUUCUAGUCAUUUUCUCCUGUCGCCAUCUUUCAUUGGCAUUCACAAUUCCCUUUAAGGGAAUGAGAAAUUCCUGUUUACUUGUGAGGUCAUUCAUUUCAAAAGGCUGACAAUCAUUCAAGUGCCAGGCUUCCUUUAUGGAACUUUGUUUCCAAAGCUGGUCGCCUCACAUCUGUUCUUCUUCCCCUUCAUGUAAUUUCAAAUUUCUUGCUUCUAUAGCUAAAAUGAAUUUUCAUCCAUUCACUUCCAUUGCUUAUGGUCUGAAAAGGAGGGCUGCCUGAGCACGUGGGGCUUUACUGUUGAUCUUCUUGUAUGAGAGAUGCAUUAUGAUUUUUAGCUUCCUAUUUCAUUAAUCCCGAGUACUUUCAUUGAUGACAAAAAACCAUGUGGUGUUUUUAACAGGAUUCUCACUGCAAUCAAUUUUUCAAACUAUUCCGGUUGAGAAGUAGGUGAUAAAUUGCUCCUUAGCAAAAUGAUGCUACUGCAGUUUCGUCUAGCUCAGAUUGUGUGACUAAGCUACAUUGGGUUAGCUAUCCAGCUGCUUCAGAUUCUCCAAAAUGCCGAGGUGUAUUGCGUAGUCCAAGUCGCCACCACCUGUGGUCCAUUGGUUGAUAAUUUGCUGGCCAAGUUUGCUAUAUUCAAUCUGGAAAUUAUCUUCUGUAUUUCUAUUCAGCCACAUUCUCGACAAUAUCUACUUUCUCCAAUAUGUGUGUAUAGUAGUAGGGUUUAUCUGCAGCUGGCAAUGUAAGUUCGACCGGUCCUGCUGCUUCUUGUUGUAUGUACCUUUCUUUUCCCUUUUGAUUCGAAAGUAAUUUACUGUGCUCAGACAGACCAGUGGAUGUCAGAUAAGCUCAUGUGUUUUAUUCGUGCAUUGUGCUAUAAAUUCUACUCCCUCAGUUAUUGGUUUCAGAAUUGUUAAAUCCUUUCAUCUGGAUGGAAAUCUCGUGCUCUCAUGCAACUGUAUAUCACUUAGGAUCAAAUUCAUAUGUUUAUAGUCAUUCCACUUCAAAUACAACUGCAUGUUCAGUGAUUUUGAGCAUUGUUGUUCAUUUCAUUCGUAAAUCCUGAAUAUGAAGUGUCUAUAUAUAUAUAUAUAUAUAUAUAUAUAUAUAUAUGUAUGUAUGUAUGUAUAGGAGUGACUUCCCACGAAAGGUCGUUUUUACAGUUAUUCUACAAGUAUAGGGAUCCUUCAGCAAUGGAGAAAAAUGUCGUGCUCGCCUUCCUAGGGACGAGGACAUAGAAGAGCAUGAGCCCCCACUGGACAUUCGCAGGUGGAUCUUGUAUGAUCUUCAGACGGAUCCUUAGUGACGGUCAAAAUGUUUAAAUUUUCUGUUUUGACACCUUUUUUUCUUGUUUUGACGGUUAAUGCCCCUCGAAAUAGUGUCUAAAACUUCUAUAAAAACGUCAGACCAACCACUGGUGUUAAUCACUUGGCUAAGAAAAUACAUGAUUCAUUAGACAAAAGUUGCAACUUUCAAAUACUUCUAGAUCAUAUAGGGGGUGAUUUGCUAUAGAAAAUUACUAGAAUUCCCUUAAAAAACAGUCCAUAGUUCAAGUAGGGUUUGUCUUACUUAGUGCAAAGAGUAAAAGAUAGACAAAUUUCAAAUUAUGGUGAAGGCUAAUUUGUCCAAGCUCUAUUACUAGACAACUAAAAUCUAAAGAAAAGUGAUUUUGAAUCAAGAUUUGAAACCUUUAUUUUGUGUUUUUAUCUUUGUAUCAUUCAGCCAUUUUCUUUGUAAUAUUCCCAACAUUUUGCACCUUUGAUCGUGAUACAUUUCCCACGCUUUGAUACACCCAAUAUAGACCACAUCAUAGGUGUAUAUUCUGAAUAGGGGUGUAAGAGUCGAGUAUAUUCUGAAUAUACAACAUCAUGGGUAUAUUCUGAGUUUCGAACUAAUCAAACCGAGUCUCGUUCGAACUCGAUUUUGAACUCGUCGAGUUCAAAAUGUCUAGUUUGAGUUUAAAAUUUUUUUAAAAAAUUAAUUAUUUUAUUUUAAAAUGAAUAAAAUAAUAAUUUUUCUUAACGAAUAAUAAAAUAUUAGAGAUAUAUAUAUGUAAUUUUACUAUUAAAAUAAAAAAUUAAAUACAUAAUCAAAUUUGAACCGGCUCACGAGAUAAUGAGAUUAGUAUUUUUGAACUCGAAUUUGACUUGAUUAACUUGAAUUUGACUCGAGCUCGAUGUUGACCGAACUCAAGCGAUUCGAUUCGUUUGCAGGUUGCGGUCCUAAUUCUGAGUACAAAAGUUCCUUUCCCACACAAAAUACAUAUGAUUGAUGUCUUUUACAACAUUGCCUGAUAUGGUACUAAAACCAAUCUUGACAGUUUCUGCAGUAAAUAUGUUCUCAUCUCAAGAUCUACGUCACUAUUUAUACAGUUAUCCAUAUGCACAUUUAUACCAAGGCAUUUCCCAAGUUUCAGGCUUUCAGCUACAGGGUUUCAACCUAGGUCCAUUGGGGCCUUGUUCAGUUACAGGGUUUUUUAGUGAGUCCCUUUUAUAUUAGUCUUUGACUCAAUUUUACGAUGACUCCUGAGUGUUUCUAAUUUAACUGGGUGUGUGUUGAUUUCGGUUCGGAAGAAAAAUUUCCCAAGUUUCAGUCCACAGCUACAGUUAUGCUAUGGAUAUGAAGUAUCAUAAAUUGUUAGAUGACCCUUUUAGAAGGUGAAUGAGAUAUUACUGCACAAUUUUCAUUUAUUUAGUGCAAGAAAAUGAAGCAUUUCAAUUACAAAAAAAAAAAAGAAAUAAUUUUGGUUAAAUUUUGAUACAUUAAAAGUUAGUAUAAUAACAAUAAUUGGGUCUGUUUGAUUAUCAAGAUUUGCAUAUAUAUAUAUAUAUAUAUAUAUUAUAAAUAUAAUUUUGAAUCACUUUUUUACCUAAUAUAAAUUACAUUACAAGUAAUGCUACAGUAUUAUUUUAGAUACUUUUUAGCUUAUGGGAGGUCUCUACAGUUAAAUCCCUAUGCAUAUUUAGCUGCAACCACCUUGACCGAGCAACCAACCAACAUAGGCAUUUCCAAAGUUUUCACAGUACACUGGUUAGAUAUGACCACCACCACCUCCUCCAGUGGCAGCCAGCCGCCACAACCAUCGGCUGAACCCCAGCUGAUCCCGAAGCUCCCAGAUGACGUGUCCAUCGACUGCCUAGCAAGAGUCCCCAGCUCCCAUUACCGUGAUCUCUCUCUUGUCUCGAAAACAUGGCACUCCGCCAUAACCUCCUCUACACUCUUGACCGCCCGGUCCCGCCUCCGUACCACCCAAACCUUUCUUUACCUUAACCUCCGCAUCGACAACUCCGUCGACUGGUACACUCUC
rnacentral:lncRNA from 1 species